UCUUAGUCUCCUGUUUAGAUUAACUUGGGAUUUUGCCCAGAUGACUACCUAUUGGAUAAAUGGAACUCAAGAACUUGAAAUCAAUUGCAAUUGAAGAACAUCACUCAUCUUUAUUUGGAUCAACACGCAAUUAAUCUCAACUGAAAGGGCUUAAGGACUACGGGGCAACCUUCAUCUUAAAUAAAUAGAAACGAAGAUUUAUUGUCAUUAUUCUUGAAGGAGGAUUCCAAAAGAUAUGAUUUCCAAGGACAUUGUUUUUCCUGAUUAGUCGAAGUGCGUCAGCCAUUAUUUGAUUAUGUUAAUGCGAUUAACUACUCUUGCUUUUAGUCAAGCAACUUUUAUUCUUAUGUCAAACAAAAUUUUAAUUUUCCGUCCAUUCCAUCUAAGAAAUCGAUUUAUUAUCGAUAGGCGGAGACUUUGAUGUGGCAACCUUCCUAUUUUUAAAACAGCUGAUUGUAUUUUUCCGCGUUAAUUGGUUUGAUUUUAUAUUUUUUUAUUUUUUAAGUUUAUACCACAAGAUUAAAAUGAAAAUCCUCUGUGAGGUGCAAAUGGUGAAUCGUGUGACCUAAGCGAAUCGUACGCCGCGGGCAGUUAAUCCACUUUGGCCAUAGGCUACAAACAGAGCGCCCUGGAUUCAAAUGGGAAUACAAAAAAGGAAAUGGAAAUGAUAUUAUUCACGCCACAAAUCAAGACUGGGCAGCGUUACAAGGUCAAGGAUAAUAUGCAGGCGGUUCACACGAAAUACGUGGCGGACGGCAAAGCAACAAUUGGAUUCAAGCAGCCGGCAGAAAAUCUUUUGAUUAAAUGUGAUCCCAUUCAGUUAAAGGGAUUCCUGCAGACUCUGAAACUGGGUAUGGAGGGCAAGGACGCCAUCAAUUUGAGACUGAUUAUAGUAACUGCCACGGCCAUUACACAAAAAGCAAAGUCACAGACUAAAAUGACCUUUAAUCGUCGCUGCGAUUAUCCCAGUCCAGAUCAGUUUAUAUAUGUUGAUAUUGUCAAAUGUGGCUACUGUAAGAAUGUUAAAUCAUGCGCAUGA